UAGGGUUCUUCCCAAUAGAUAGG
rnacentral:piRNA from 1 species